CUCUUAUCAAGAGAAGGCGGAGGGAAUGGCCCUGCGAAGCCCGGCAACCGGUGAACAGACUCAUACGGUGCUAAAUCCUGCAGCACUGCUGCAAGAUAAGAG
rnacentral:ncRNA from 1 species